GGCAGGGAACGGUCCGGGGCCUGGGCCGCCGCGGAGCCGCCGGGCGGAGCUUUGGUGUCGGGCGAAGUUUCUCACCAGCCCCAGGAGGAGACCGAGGAGCGAGGCCGCGCCCUGGGCACUCCCGGGGCUUUGGCGACCUGAAAGCAGCCCCGCCGGGAAUUCCUAACUUAGCUGAGCGGCGAGGGGGCUGCGCCCCGCCAGCUCCAGGCUCCGGGCGGAGGUGGGAGCACCUCCUCUGCGCGCAGGGGGGAUGCCCGGGAGGGCGAGACAAUGGCAGGAAGCCGUGGCGCUCCCAGCUCUCUCCCUUUCUUUGGGGGGCUCCUGCAGAAGCCCCAGGGCCUCCUCAGCCCCGGCUCUGUCUCCGCUUUGUGGUCACCUGCUCUCCAGCGACAGAGUUAAGAAAGUCGAAGGUUGGGAACCUGCCCCCGAAUCACCCUCGCCCCUGCCCCUGGGUGUCCGCCCAGGUUGCACCAUGGACAGGCAAAAAUGAGCCCCCGAGAGUUCAGACUACUGGAGGAACCCCUGUGCGUUCUCCACCAGGAGCCCCACCCUCACCCCAGGGAAAGUGGCAGAUACAAAGUAAAGAGACCCAUGAACCCUGACACCUAGGAGCUUACCAUCUAGUGUAAAUUUUGUGACCCUGAAAAACAUCCACAGAAAACCAGGCAAGAACAUGAGACUUGAAAAUGUUGAGACACUUCAACGGGGCAUUAGAGUAAAACAUCCAAGAAGUGCAUGAGGCUGUAUAUAAAAAGAUACAGUAAAGUGAUGUUUAUAAUUGCAGGGAAACUGGGAACAGAUUAAACGUCUUGAUUGUUAAGUAAAUGAUAGUACUCCAUGGUCAUUAAAAAUUGUAAUGUAUUCGGUAUGAAGAACAAAAAUAUUUUAAUUAUAUAUUGUUUUUAAAAAGCAAAGUGCCAGAACUACAUACAGUCUGAUCUCAGCCUACUGCAUAUAUAUGAAAUGAUGUUUAAAUAGGUACAGCCGUAUGUGUAGGUGCAUAAGGAGAAAAAUCUGGAUGUGGAUACACCAAGAUUUAGCAGUGACUCUCCUUGGGAUUAAAGGUGUUGGUUUUUCU